rnacentral:lncRNA from 1 species
UGAAAUAAAUCUGAACUAAAUCUGAAAGCCUCUAAGUACUGUCUGAAUGAGGAGUUGAAGGAACAUGUCUCCAACUAACUCCAUAAACAAAAAACAUAACUGAAAUAAUAAAUAAAUCAGAUCAUAUAGUCCUCAAAUGAAGAGGACUCAUUGCAACUCUGUAUACUGGAUCGCGAAUGUUAUUGUCAGUCUGGAACUCAUGUCUCUAAACCUAUGGUGU